GACGUAGGGCGCGAGCGUUGUCCGGAUUUAUUGGGCGUAAAGAGCUCGUAGGCGGCUCGUUGCGUCGGCUGUGAAAACCCGGGGCUCAACCCCGGGCCUGCAGCCGAUACGGGCAGACUAGAGUUCGGCAGGGGAGACUGGAAUUCCUGGUGUAGCGGUGAAAUGCGCAGAUAUCAGGAGGAACACCGGUGGCGAAGGCGGGUCUCUGGGCCGAUACUGACGCUGAGGAGCGAAAGCGUGGGGAGCGAACAGG
rnacentral:rRNA from 1 species